ACAAAACAAAGUCGUACAUAAAAGAAUUAAAGUCGCAAACAAACAUGAAUCCAAAAAAUACAUAAACAAGAAUUUAAUCUUUGUUUUAUACUCCAUCUUUCAUAAGCUAAUGAAUUGGCCGUACUUUCAUCACUUCCACCAAGUAUAUACUAUUCAUAAACCUUCUCCAAUUCAGCCUGAACAAAUUAAGUACACACGUUAAACAAAAAUUUCGGCAGCAUAACGACUAAAAUAUGAAUAUACCAAAAAAAACCCCAUAUCAAUAUACAAUAACCAACCUGCCAAAAAAUAUAUAUACCAUAUAUAUCAACUACUAAUUCAACUCAUUGUGCACUUUACUUGCAUAUCAAUAUAUCAAUGUGCAAUCAAGUAUUAAAUCGGUACUACGCCAUAGAUAACGUAAAUUUUGUAAUAAAUCUCAACUAAACAUUCAACAAUAAAAUCAAACAUGGAUAAUUUACAUUGUAAAAAUUGAAAGUAUUAAAAAAUAUUGUGCUUACAGAAAUAGCAAGUUGAUCGGGAGUAGCUGUCCUUGUAAACGGUUCUUCUAUGUCAUCUUCACUAGUGGAUGACCCCAUUUCUCGUAAUGAAUCAAUGCCCAUGAAGGCUUUCUUAUGUUUAUCAACCACUCUUGAAUGAGGUUACGAAAAUCAUCAGUUUCUUGGGUGGGUUCUUCAUGCAGAUCGUGUUGAUCAUGAUGAAGACAAGCAUGCAAUAACUCACCCAUGCUGUCACCGACAUUAGCAUCUAUACGAUCAUACGUUACAACCUCAGGAAUUUCUACCGCACUAGUUUCAUUCAUUUCCCCUCCAAUGUAUUUUUUUUUUCAUUUUUUCAGACUCUAGAUGCAUUCUCCAUCGGCCAUUCCCAUAAAAUUUAUCCCAACCCCGCCAAAGUAAAUGCUUAUGCACAUAUUCGCGAUACCCAAAUUUUCGACAAUUACAAUCUCUACAUGGACACCUUAUUUUAUUAUCAAUGGCACACUUAGCAAAAGCAAAAUCUAAAAAUUCCACACAACCAUUUUGAAAUGCUUCCAAUCGAUGAUCAUCUAACAAAACCCAACUCCUAUCUUUUGACAUUCUUUACUUAGCGAGUAUUUGAAACUGAUAAAUAAAAAGAAAAUAAUCAACUCACCAAUUUACAAAAUUCUAUAUUAGGCUGAUAACUUGGAAAAAAUGAUCAUGCAAUUUCUUAGAUAACUAAUAGAAAGGUCAAAAUUCUUAGAUAAUUAAUAUUUUUGUCAUAUUAAUAAUAUACAUUUUUAUAAUAGAUAAAAAUGUAAUUUUAUUCCAAAUAAAUUAUUAUAGAUUUAUUAAUAAUAUAAUUUUUAUAUAUUUACUAUAUAAUCUACUGUUAAGUUCAAAUAGCAUGCGUGACUUUUCUUAUUAAACAAUUCGACCUAACUAAAACAUAUUUCCCAGAAUAAAGAAAUUAAUAUUGAAAAAAAAUGUUCUUGGGUAACACAUGGCUUUCUUAAAUUAACCUUAAAGCUUUUUCAUAUUUCUCUUCACCGUUUUUUUUUUCCAAAACAGAGCACAAAAUCACGAAAAACAGAGCAGACAAUAUGAAGGAAAAAAACGAAAAAAAUGAAUAUGUGCGGACUUCAUCAAUGAAAACCCAAAUCACACAACAACAAACCCAAAUCACUAAAUUAUAUUCACCAAUAAUUAAUAAGAAUAAAAACUGAGAAAAAUAGAGAGAUGUGGAGAAAGUAACUCACGUUAGAAUAAAUAUAUGUGGGCGGCGGAAUACAGUCUGCUGAAUCUCGACGGCGGAGUGUGACAACGAAGAGACACCGUCGGAGUGGGCUAGGGUUCGAGUUGCUGAGAUUCGAUAGCAGAGUGGCAGGCGGAGUGUGAUGCCGUCGGAGUGGGCUGCAAUUGAAGCUCGACGGCGGAGAGGGAGGCAGAGUGUUACGCCACCGGAGUCGGCUGCGUGGCAGGGCCCGUUGAAGCACGACAAAGGAAUGGGUAGCGGACGCCGGGGAGAGGCGACGAAGAGAUGCCGUCGCCGUCGGAUUUGUGAAAUUAUGAAGGGG
rnacentral:lncRNA from 1 species